CAGUGGACACGUGCCGAAAACAAAACAUACAAAUAUAAGUUGUCAUCCAUCAACAGUAUCACACGGGGGUUUUUUUCAAAAAGGCCCGAGCAUACUAAAUUCUUUUGUGAUCUUAAAAGUCCGACUGAUUAGUCUAAGUUCUUGUGUAUUCUGCCAUGUCUGAUAAUCUAGUGUACCGUGAAGGUGGCCACCUUCAACAGUACCAUCGCCGGCCAACCUCUUUAGGAUGACUCACGACUCUUGUGCACCACAAUCGAAACGUUUUGGCGUAGCCAAAACCAACAAACAAAUAUCUUCAACAGACAAAUAUCUCCAACAGGCAGGUCUCAAAAACAAACACUUUAUGGCAUGACAACAACUUUAAAUGAAAUGAUCACAUAUCCAUUUUUGAGAAAAAGGUAUUUCAUAACUUCAAAAGUAUUUGCUUUAUAUCCACACUAUAAUGCUGGAUAUUUAAAAGAAAGCCCACCUGGUAUGCUUAUCUCCAAUUAAAAUCCUCGUUUGGCCUCACUUGCCCUUUGAAUAAAUUCUCCUUUAGAAAUAAAUAGCGUAACACGCUAAUUAGUACUAGAACUAUUUUUCUGAAAAAGAAUGCAUGCAUCAUAUAUGAUAGCAUCUAUCUCUUAGUCUCAACUUAUAGAGUUUUCCCUUAAAUCCUAACUCGGCUUCACUAUACUGCAGCAUUUAAAUAUUCACUUUACUUAUCUUGGAUAAAUUCUAAUAUCUCUUAAUAAAAUAUGGAUUCUUAAAAUCCCUCCUUAAAUUCCUUCUUCUUCGGAUUUUUCUUAAGGCCGCCCAUGGCGUCGCGGGGCGACGCCGCUCGGCCCUUCGCAUCUCUGCUUAUUUUUCCAUCUUCGAAACUCAAAUUAUUCGGAUAUUAAUUUAAUUAAACUCCAAGCUUAAUUCCUUAAAUUAAUUCCUUUCCAAAAUAAUAUUAAAUUUCCAAGUCCACUAAUUAAAGUAGCUCACUCCAACCAAAAUCCCUCGGCCCAAAAAUUCAAUCGGCCUAACAUAUUAAUUAUUCUAUAGGCCCAAGCAAUUAAUUUACUUGGCCCAACUCAUUCUAUUAUUCACCUCUGGUCCAAUAAACAAAUUAAUAGGAGCCCAACUAAUUUAUUAAAAUUGGCCCAAAAACUUGCUCCCUUUUUUCUUCUCCAUCGUGACCUCCUCAAAUCAUCUUCAUCUUCCCCAAAUGACAUCCCCAAUUUGGGAAAUCACCGACGCCUGCUUCCCCUCUCACGCCUCCUCCAGCGAAAACGCCGAUUGAGGAGAAAGGCGUCGCCUUUCUUCCUCUGGCUCUUUCUCAAUUCUGAAUCUGUAAAUUUUCUUUUUCUAGAUCGAAGUAGUGCUUCCGUCCGUCCUCGUCUCCUUCUCCGGCGAAAUCGCGUUGCAGUCGGCUCGCUCUCCACCGAUCAUUGCCACCGGUGUCGAGUUCUUUCUCCCGACGAGGUUCCCGACAGAGAAGGCGUCGCCUCCCUUCCACAGCGUCGAUACCGACCGCCGCUUCCCCCGUCGCGUCGGCGUUCGCCCGUCGCCAGUCCGCCCGCCGUUCACGCGGCUUCCGUGUUCUUAUUUGCUAUAUGAUGCUUGUUUCUUGCUAUUGAUGUGGAGAUCCUAUUGAAAUCCUAAGUUCUCGGCUACUUAUUUGCUUGUUCUAAUUAAUGCAAGAAUUGGUUUCGGGGGAAUUACCUCAGCUUGAUGAACCUUGUUCUGCCCUCUUACUGUCACAGCCUCGCGCUUCCCGUUCCUCCCUCCGUCGCACUCCACGCCUGAAAAUCUUGGGCCGAAAGAGUGUGUGGAGGGAAGGGCGAUGGCUGUAUUUAUAGGCCAAUUCUUUGGCUUCUUGUGGCAGAUUUUUGAGCAUUGGUGCUUCUAUUUUCGGCUAGGGGUUUAGCUCCCUUUUGAGAUUUGUAACUAGGGUGAUCAUGCUAGAUUGGUGUAAGUUUGGGGGGCUGCCAUUAUUGGCUGGUAUCUCUGCCUCGGUUGAGGAGGAGAGUACUUUGUUGCCUCAAAAAGGUCUUAGUGAUGAGCUCAUUCCUUGCUCCUUUUUGUUCUUUCCCUUUCUUGGAGGAUUGGUGAUGUACAUGGCUGUCCAAGCUUGGUGUUUUAUGGGGCAACAAUCGAGAGAGGAGGAAUGAGGGGAAGAGAGAAAGAGACCUCACUCUUGGAGUUCUUUGUUUUCUAUACUACUUUAGUUAUUUCCAAGAUUGUAUUGUCUUUUUCAUGUACUAUUAGCAUCUGCAUUAUCCAUGAAAUUGUAUUACUAAAUUGCUCUUCUAUCAAAAGCAUAUCACUCCUUUUAUUCUUGAA